rnacentral:tRNA from 1 species
GCCACCUUAGCUCAGUUGGUAGAGCAACGGUUUCGUAAACCGUAGGUCUCGAGUUCGAGUCUCGAAGGUGGCUCCA